CUGAGAGGAACCUCGGAUCUUCUUCGUCUCACUGCCUCGAGUACUAUCAACGAUCGUUAUGAUCAUAAUCGUAAUCAUCAUCUUCUACACAGAGCUGAAGUCUCCCCCUCCUUUGGUGCAAACAGCUUCCUCUCUAGUUCAGUAAGUUGGUGUGUUUAUUUGGUGUAUGUAUAUAUCUGCAUGACAAUGUUUCCUAAUUCCCAUAUGUGUUGGUUAUAAUUAGCUAGGUUGGGGUUGGUGGGUUUACUAUCUAUGAUCAGAAGAACUGAUUUUUUUUAUUCUUAUUUUGUUCUUGGGGAGGGGAAAAAAGGGGGUAACUUGGUAUAAUGGUAUACAAGAGAUGGGAGACGAUUGUUGUUGCAGUGUGGGUAAUAUAUAUGUUGGUUUUUCAUUUACAUGAUGUACGUUUCAACUUAAUUUGUACUUUGUAGUUGACGAUAUUGUUCAGGAGCAUCAUUAACUGGUUUUAAAUUUGAGUAUGUUUUUAGAAGAAUGCUGAUAUUUUCAAACCAUUCACAUUAAAAGCUGAACAUAUACAGUAUGACAUGAUACUGUCUGUACAUGAUGUUUCACGAAGCUACGUACUAAGGUUAGCUGUACAGAGUAUGGGGUGGGUAAAACGCCUAAUUGUGGCCAAUAACCUCAUUAGCUAUUGAUAUGCCCUUUAACUCAUGCAAUUAGCUACUAACACGCAUUUUCCUGACUCGUAACAACUAAUGUCAGUAGCCAGCUAUUGUCAGUUGUUGCGUGAAGUGAACAUGCAUUUAGGCUACCAUUGAGAUUGAGUGAGGUGUUUGUGGAAACUAAUGUAAACCUCAAGAAUAGUAGAUGGUUCGAGCCAAAGCCACAGUUUUCAUAUCUUGAAAUUAUUCUAUGGGAGACAACAAAUAUAUGGAUUUGAAGGUACGUGAGAUUUAUGCCCUUGGACAAUAGUAUGCUGGC
rnacentral:lncRNA from 1 species